rnacentral:rRNA from 1 species
AUUGAACGCUGGCGGCAGGCUUAACACAUGCAAGUCGAGCGAGUGGCGGACGGGUGAGUAAUGUCUGGGAAACUGCCUGAUGGAGGGGGAUAACUACUGGAAACGGUAGCUAAUACCGCAUACCAUCAGAUGUGCCCAGAUGGGAUUAGCUAGUAGGUGGGGUAAUGGCUCACCUAGGCGACGAUCCCUAGCUGGUCUGAGAGGAUGACCAGCCACACUUGAACUGAGACACGGUCCAGACUCCUACGGGAGGCAGCAGUGGGGAAUAUUGCACAAUGGGCGCAAGCCUGAUGCAGCCAUGCCGCGUGGAUGAAGAAGGCCUUCGGGUUGUAAAGCUCUUUCAGCGGGGAGGCGUUACUCGCAGAAGAAGCACCGGCUAACUCCGUGCCAGCCGCCGCGGUAAUAC